rnacentral:tRNA from 1 species
GGGGCUGUGGCUCAGUGGUAGAGUGCUUGCCUAGCAAGUACGAGGCACUAGGUUCGAUCCUUAGCACCA